CUCGUUAUAACUGGCUGAUUAGGCAUUUGAGAAGAGGAAAGUUGAGGGAAGAUGAUGGGUGUGGAAAAAGUGAGGCGUGGCCUAUUUUAUACAUUGGUGAAUCUGAUUAUUCGGAAGGGGCAGCGCACGACGAAGAAAUUUCGA
ensembl:ncRNA Y73A3A.2 ncRNA